CGGCCGUGAUGCAUUAAGAUUCGCGUUUUUCCAGAAGACAUCAAGAUUCACGCUUCAACUUCUCCGUGCAACUACGACCAUGUGUUAGUGACCGAAUUGCCACCGCACCCCUUUCAUCCCAUUGCAUCGACGACGACAACGACGUCAUCAAGAAAAAGGAGGAAACCGCCUCCUCCCAAAAAGCCCUAGAUCGCGCCCUCCCGCCACAUUCUCCUCCUCCUCCUCUCUGCCGGCCCCGGCGGAUCGGCACCGUCUUACGCUGGGGCCGCGCGAGGAAUCCCUCCAUACCUUCCGACCCAAGAACCUCGACGCCAGGGGAGGCUGGCAGUGGCGGCUGCACGGAGUCGAGGCCCGCGGUGCUCGUAGUCGUUGGCGUCCUCGAUGGGGUUCUCCUCCGCUCCGAUCGCGGGGCUGCGCUCCGGAGUGCCUGGUUCCCGUCCGAUCCCGACUUCUUGUCGCGAAAGUAAACCAAGAGUAAGCAUCACGUCAUCACACCGUAAGCCAUGGGUUCAUUCCCCAUGGUAGUUUUCUGAAAGAGGAAGGUGGAAGAACAUUAUAUUAGAAUGCCAGCUUUGCUGCUUCUUAUGGCUACGAUACGAUACAAUGAAUGCUUUGAAGAUAUGAUACAAUGAAUGUCGGCAUUGGAUUUAGAUUGCAAUCAGCAAAAAGUGCAGUGCUACUUGUACAUCUCCUUGGGCACCACUCUGCCUCCUCUUCCAUUUCAUUUCUAUGUAGCAUCGCACUGAGGGAUGAUAGCUUACAUGGGUCUUGGGAUGCGCUGAUAUGAUGAUCCUUUCGGACAUCAAGGCAAAGGAAGAGUGUUGAUGAGAUGCGCUGAUAUGAUGAUCCUUUUGCUCAUCUCCUUGAAGGUUGCUUCGUACCCAAGGCAAAAUGAGCAUCAGGACACUUGAUGGAACCCUAAAUAUGGCAGAAUCCAAGCAGUCUUCAGCUGCACCAUUUAUUA